rnacentral:rRNA from 1 species
CACGUAGGGCGCAAGCGUUGUCCGGAAUUAUUGGGCGUAAAGCGCGUGUAGGCGGCCAGGUAGGUCCGCUGUGAAAACUCGAGGCUCAACCUCGAGACGUCGGCGGAAACCAUCUGGCUAGAGUCCGGAAGAGGAGAGUGGAAUUCCUGGUGUAGCGGUGAAAUGCGCAGAUAUCAGGAAGAACACCCGUGGCGAAGGCGGCUCUCUGGGACGGUACUGACGCUGAGACGCGAAAGCGUGGGGAGCGAACAGG